GAUGAACGCUGGCGGCGUGCCUAAUACAUGCAAGUCGAGCGAACAGACGAGGAGCUUGCUCCUUUGACGUUAGCGGCGGACGGGUGAGUAACACGUGGGUAACCUACCUAUAAGACUGGGAUAACUUCGGGAAACCGGAGCUAAUACCGGAUAAUAUUUCGAACCGCAUGGUUCGAUAGUGAAAGAUGGCUCUGCUAUCACUUAUAGAUGGACCUGCGCCGUAUUAGCUAGUUGGUAAGGUAACGGCUUACCAAGGCGACGAUACGUAGCCGACCUGAGAGGGUGAUCGGCCACACUGGAACUGAGACACGGUCCAGACUCCUACGGGAGGCAGCAGUAGGGAAUCUUCCGCAAUGGGCGAAAGCCUGACGGAGCAACGCCGCGUGAGUGAUGAAGGUCUUCGGAUCGUAAAACUCUGUUAUUAGGGAAGAACAAACGUGUAAGUAACUGUGCACGUCUUGACGGUACCUAAUCAGAAAGCCACGGCUAACUACGUG
rnacentral:rRNA from 1 species